rnacentral:tRNA from 1 species
GCGGCGGUGACGGAACUGGUCUACGUGAUGCGCUCAAAACGCAUUGCCCCAUCGGGGCUUGUGGGUUCGAAUCCCACCCGCCGCA